rnacentral:rRNA from 1 species
AUACGGAGGGUGCAAGCGUUGUUCGGAAUUACUGGGCGUAAAGCGCGCGCAGGCGGGCUGAUAAGUUGGAUGUGAAAGCCUACGGCUCAACCGUAGAACUGCAUCCAAAACUGUCAGUCUAGAGUCUGGGAGGGGAAGAUGGAAUUAGUUGUGUAGGGGUAAAAUCCGUAGAGAUAACUAGGAAUACCAAAAGCGAAGGCGAUCUUCUGGAACAGUACUGACGCUGAGGCGCGAAAGCGUGGGGAGCAAACAGGAUUAGAAACCCUUGUAGUCC